UACGUAGGGUGCAAGCGUUGUCCGGAAUUAUUGGGCGUAAAGAGCUCGUAGGCGGUUUGUCGCGUCUGCUGUGAAAACCCGAGGCUCAACCUCGGGCCUGCAGUGGGUACGGGCAGACUAGAGUGCGGUAGGGGAGAUUGGAAUUCCUGGUGUAGCGGUGGAAUGCGCAGAUAUCAGGAGGAACACCGGUGGCGAAGGCGGGUCUCUGGGCCGUUACUGACGCUGAGGAGCGAAAGCGUGGGGGAGCGAACAGG
rnacentral:rRNA from 1 species